GACAGAGGAUGCAAGCGUUAUCCGGAAUGAUUGGGCGUAAAGCGUCUGUAGGUGGCUUUUUAAGUCCGCCGUCAAAUCCCAGGGCUCAACCCUGGACAGGCGGUGGAAACUACCAAGCUGGAGUACGGUAGGGGCAGAGGGAAUUUCUGGUGGAGCGGUGAAAUGCGUAGAGAUCGGAAAGAACCCCAAUGGCGAAAGCACUUUACUGGCUAUCACUGACACUGAGAGACGAAAGCUAGGGUAGCAAAUGG
rnacentral:rRNA from 1 species